rnacentral:rRNA from 1 species
AUGUAUAAUUUGCAUCAAGCAGUUUUUGGGCUGAUUUUUAUAUCAGAUGCUCUUAGCGCCAACUCCCUUUCACUUUUAACCGGUCGUCUCCGACGCGGCGACGCCAUUUCUGCUCUGUCCAACCACCACCGUCUCCUCCUCCUCCUCCUCCUUAAACCGCGCGUAUACGUCCCCCGCGUAGAAUCCCCGAGUCCUCCACGCCAGCACCAGCGUCACCGCCGCGGCGGCCACCGUCACCGCCGUUAUGACCAAGAACGACUCCUUGUAGCACCGGACGCCGAUGCAAGUCACGAACCUCUUCCCGGCCGCCGAGGCCACGGCGUGUCCGCCACCCUGCCGCGCGGCCUCGCGGUCGUACAUGCGCCCGGCCACGCGCACGUUGAGGACGUACGACCCCACGGGGCUUGCCGUGCCGCACAGGUUGUAGAGCGUGGAGUAGUACCUGAGCCCGAACAGCUCCGACACGCUCGCCAGGAUCAGCGGUUGCGCCGCGCCGAAGCAGAACCCGAUGAUCACCGACGCCACGUACAAGGAUCCCGGCACGCCGAACGAUAUGAGGAGGUGGCCCGGGACGGUGAGGAGCAGGACGACGGCGAGGACGAGCGGGCGCGGGAGGCGGUACCGCGCGAGGAGCGCCUCCGACGCGAAGCCGGAGGCGACCCGGCCGAGGUAGUUCCAGAUGCUGAUGAGGGAGACGAAGGUGGCGAUGCUGCGCUGCGGGUAACCCAGCGACUCGCCGAUCUGGCCCAUGUUGUCGAUGGCCGUGAGGGUGCCGCCCAUGCCGAACACCGUCGCCGUGAACAGCAGCAGCAUGUCCACGCUCACCAGCGCCUGCAGGAUCGUGUAGUCGUCGCCAAGCGGUGGUGGCCUCAGCGCCCGCACCACCCUCGACGUCAGUGUAGCUGCUGGCUUCUCCGCAACGGCCGCUGGUUCUUGUGCCGGCGUCCGUGGUUUGGUGGCCACGGUCACCACGGUCUGCGCUUCCCGUGUGUUCUUGAACAGUGCGGCCUCCUCGCGCAGGACCACGGUGAAUGGGACGAGAAGCAUUGCGAGCACGACGGCGGCGCUGACGCCAAACUCUGCUCGGGUGAACAAGAACCUCUUCUGCAAGAUGAUGACGACCAUGAGGUAAGCGGCGAGAGCGAGCGACACGUACAGAAAGCCGCAGAACGCGCGGUACUCGCGGCGCGCCGCGGCCGGGGAGCGCGGCGAGCGAAUGAUCCGUAUCGUGCCGAGGAAGGCCACGGAGACGGCGGCCGGGAGCCAGCCAACGAGCAGUAUGAGCGGUCUGGUGUCACCGACGCCUCCACCGUAGAAAGCGAGGUAGAGCUGGGUGAAGAUGGCUCCGCUGAGUCCGACGAAGCCCUUGAGCAAGCCGAGUAUGACGCCGCGGCUCUCGGGGAAGUUCUUGACGCAGGUGACGAGUGCGCCGGUGUUGGCGAAGGCCUGCGAGUUGGCGCCGACGGCGAUGUAGAGGCACACGAGCCAGAGCGGCGGCCUGGCGCGGACGACGCCGGCGACGGAGAGGUAGAGCAUGAGGUAUCCACCCAGGUUCAUUGCGGCGCCGAUGGAGAGGACGAGCCAUGGCGGGGCGACCUCGGCGAUGAGGCCGGCGUGGAUGCCGACGUUGGCGCCGACGUCCUUGAAGAAGCCGACGGUGUUGAGCUGCUCCUGGGUGUAGCCGAGCGUGGCCUUGAUGUCCUUGGAGUAGACGGCGAAGAUGUACGUCGCCCCCGCCGCGGACAUGAUGAGGAAGGAGCCGUGCGCCAUGAACCACCUCCCGCGCAGCACGUGCGCGGCGAAGGCCCUGGCCGCGGCCGCCAUGACGAGAUGCUCUGCUUGAUUCCGUGGUUGGCUUUCUGGGAGAUCACAAUGCUGGAGUGGGAUGGAGGAAUGCUGGAAUGA